GUGUGUCACGUGACUCACCAGUGUUCUUUCUCGUUACUCGGUCUGCCUUGGGCGCAUUUCUCGUGCAAUCAAAAUUUGGAAAAGGCCGCUCAGCUCUCAGCAAACUAUCAAAUCUUACGCAACACUCUAGGCCUAAGUCGUAUCGACAUCACACUUCAGUCAGCAAAUCAAGAGUCGAGGUGGGAGAACGCUAACCGAGAGGGUGUCACCCUAAUCCGGGUGAGCAGCCGCAGCAGUAGCCGCAAGGCCAAGGUCGUGGUGGAGUCGGAGGGCACCCUGGACGUCUCGGCUGCUGGUCCGGACACUGUGGCUGUCGUGGAAACAGCCGCGGAUGUAAACGUAGAGGUGCUUUUGCCUUUCUCCCCUCUACCUCUUUCUACUGUACCAAAGAAAUAUGCAUGUACCAAUAUUAUAUCUCGGUGUUGGGUAUACCUGCUUAAACUAUGCCACUAUCAGGGGACUUAAAUUAUAUUUUUCCUCUUCCAAAUAGACUGUAUAG
rnacentral:misc_RNA from 1 species